UCCCGCUCUCAAAAGUGAACUUGAGCAAAUUGAUGGGAUACGAGAGCACAACAUAGCUGAACGUGAAAAAUAAACAACGGCCUAUAAUAACAAAAAAUCGUGGAGGAGAAAUCCCAAAUGCAAUUAAAUGAAUUGAACCCGAUCAUUAAACCGAACGACACGUUUGGCACGGAUUCUGUGGCUGCGGCGAAGAUCACCGUCUUUGAUUAUUGGAAUCGCGGUUGGAGAUGGCCGUUGCUGACGGUGGUGACUGAGAAUCUUGGGUUGAAGUGUCGCAACGGAGGAAUCUUCGGUUUCGUCGGAAGCGUCCCCCCGGUGUAUCCACCAACGUAAUUUCGCUGCGCAGGAGUGAGUGAGCAGGAUCCACAUUGAAUCAGGCGAGGACGAGAAGUUGAAUUGCGCUGGAUGAGGGCAUAUCCCAGCCCAUGAAGCCGUGACGCGUCUGUCAAGAGCUCCGUUGCAAGUGUGGGGUCAAAAGGAUGAACCACGGCUGAGGAACACAAGAGUUCUUUAGUGAAUGUAAAUUCGUGUUCAUGCACUUCAAGCCAUGUAAAAGCGUUCACUUUCUUCAAGAGUUCUCGUAGGUGAACUGUGGAGUGGGCGAGAUCAGGUCGUGGAAAGUUUUUGAUGGAGGAGAGUUUUGAAGGAUCCGGCUUUAUACCCUCUGAAGUUGCCAGAAAUCCUGCAAACUUAACAGCCUGACCAAUCUCGAGCUUGGGUAAAGAUAAUUUAAUGCCCGCAGUCCGGCAACGAUCAAGGACUAUGCGAAGACGAGAAAAAAGAAGAGCUCUGGUUGGUGCCUGGACGAGCAUGUCGUCGACAAUUUUGAGGAGCCAUGGUAAGUUAGCAAUAGCUGCAUCCGUUCGGACAUUAAAUUCGUCAGAACUCGAGUUCAGUCCCAUUGGGGCUACACAAUAACGAUAGCGGCCUGAGGGCAGGAGGAAAGUUGUAAGAUCAGCACUGGCAUUGUCAAGAGGAACUUGAUAGUACCCGUGUACCGCGUCUACCUUAGCAAACCAGCAAGAGUCGGGUUUAAUCUGUCGGAUGAGGUCUUGGACGGACGAGAACGGAUGUACGGGUCGUUUCACUGCCUUGUUGAGGAUGCGGUAAUCUGUGACAAGUCUCACUUUCUUGCCCCCCGGUUUGCCGACGAAGUGGGCGGGUGAGCACCAAGGGGUUGGCCAGGUGACUUUCUCGAUGGCUCUUGCUGAAAUUAAUUCGUUAAUUAAUUCAUCUGACAUCUCUUGAUAGUGAAAUGGAAUAGGUCGAGCUGUAGUCACCUGGCAUGGUUUAUUGUUGGC